AUUGAACGCUGGCGGCAUGCUUUACACAUGCAAGUCGAACGGCAGCGCGGGCUUCGGCCUGGCGGCGAGUGGCGAACGGGUGAGUAAUGCAUCGGAACGUGCCCAGUAGUGGGGGAUAGCCCGGCGAAAGCCGGAUUAAUACCGCAUACGACCUGAGGGUGAAAGCGGGGGACCGAAAGGCCUCGCGCUAUUGGAGCGGCCGAUGUUGGAUUAGCUAGUUGGUGGGGUAAAGGCUUACCAAGGCGACGAUCCGUAGCUGGUCUGAGAGGACGACCAGCCACACUGGGACUGAGACACGGCCCAGACUCCUACGGGAGGCAGCAGUGGGGACUUUUGGACAAUGGGGGCAAGCCUGAUCCAGCCAUGCCGCGUGCGGGAAGAAGGCCUUCAGGUUGUAAACCGCUUUUGUUCGGGAAGAAGUCCUCUGGGCUAAUACCCCGGGGUGAUGACGGUACCGGAAGAAUAAGCACCGGCUAACUACGUG
rnacentral:rRNA from 1 species